GAUGAACGCUGGCGGUAUGCUUAACACAUGCAAGUCGAACGGAGUGCUUCGGCACUUAGUGGCGGACGGGUGAGUAACGCGUGAGAAUCUGGCUUCAGGUCGGGGACAACAGUUCGAAAGGGCUGCUAAUACCGGAUAUGCCGAGAGGUGAAAGAUUAAUUGCCUGGAGAUGAGCUCGCGUCAGAUUAGCUAGUUGGUGGGGUAAGAGCUCACCAAGGCGACGAUCUGUAGCUGGUCUGAGAGGAUGAUCAGCCACACUGGGACUGAGACACGGCCCAGACUCCUACGGGAGGCAGCAGUGGGGAAUUUUCCGCAAUGGGCGAAAGCCUGACGGAGCAAUACCGCGUGGGGGAGGAAGGUUUUUGGAUUGUAAACCCCUUUUCUCUGGGAAGAUGAUGACGGUACCAGAGGAAUCAGCAUCGGCUAACUCCGUGCCAGCAGCCGCCGUAACAC
rnacentral:rRNA from 1 species